GUAUGGCUCUCUUUCUUGGACUAUUUCUCUGUCUUGGUCUCUGUCUUGGUCUCUGUCUUGGUCUCUGUCUUGGUCUAUGUCUUGGUCUCUGUCUUGGUCUCUGUCUUGGUCUUGGUCUCUGUCUUGGUCUCUGUCUUGGUCUCUGUCUUGGUCUCUGUCUCGGUUUCUGUCUUGGCCUCUGUCUUGGUCUCUGUCUUGGUCUCUGUCUUGGUCUCUGUUUUGGUCUCUGUCUCUGUCUUGGUCUCUGUCUUGGACUCUGUCUUGGUCUCUGUUUUGGUCUCGGUCUUGGUCUCGGUCUCUGUCUUGGUCUCUGUUUUGGUCUCUGUUUUGGUCUCUGUUUUGGUCUUGGUCUCUGUCUUGGUCUCUGUUUUGGUCUCUGUCUCUGUCUUGGUCUCUGUCUUGGUCUCUGUCUUGGUCUCUGUCUCGGUCUCUGUCUUGGUCUCUGUCUUGGCCUCUGUCUUGGUCUCUGUCUUGGUCUCUGUCUUGGUCUCUGUUUUGGUCUCUGUCUUGGUCUCGGUCUCUGUCUUGGUCUCUGUCUUUGUCUUGGUCUCUGUCUUGGUCUCUGUCUUGGUCUCUGUCUUGGUCUCUGUCUUGGUCUAUGUCUUGGUCUCUAUCUUGGUCUCUGUUUUGGACUCUGUCUUGGUCUCAGUCUCUGUAUUGGUCUCUGUCUUGGUCUUGGCCUCUGUCUUGGCCUCUGUUUUGGUCUCUGUCUUGGUCUAUGUCUUUGUCUUGGUCUCUGUCUUGGUUUGGUCUCUGUCUUGGUCUCUGUCUUGGUUUGGUCUCUGUCUUGGUCUCUGUCUUGGUCUCUGUCUUGGUAUUGGUCUCUGUCUUGGUUUCUGUCUUGGUCUCUGUCUUGGUCUCUGUCUUGGUCUUGGCCUCUGUCUUGGUCUCUGUUUUGGUCGCUGUCUUGGUCUCUGUCUUGGUCUCUGUCUUGGUCUCUGUCUUGGUCUCUGUUUUGGUCUCUGUCUUGGUCUCUGUCUUGGUCUCAGUCUCUGUCUUGGUCUUGGCCUCUGUCUUGGUCUCUGUCUCUGUCUUGGUCUAUGUCUUUGUCUUGGUCUCUGUCUUGGUUUGGUCUCUGUCUUGGUCUCUGUCUUGGUCUCUGUCUUGGUUUGGUCUCUGUCUUGGUCUCUGUCUUGGUAUUGGUCUCUGUCUUGGUAUUGGUCUCUGUCUUGGUUUCUGUUUUGGCCUCUGUCUUGGUCUAUGUCUUGGUCUCUGUUUUGGCCUCUGUCUUGGUCUCUGUCUUGGUCUCUGUUUUGGUCUCUGUUUUGGUCUCUGUCUUGGUCUUGGCCUCUGUCUUGGCCUCUGUUAUGGUCGCUGUCUUGGUCUCUGUCUUGGUCUCUAUCUUGGCCUCUGUCUUGGCCUCUGUCUUGGCCUCUGUUUUGGGCUCUGUCUUGGUCUUGGCCUCUGUCUUGGUCUCUGUCUUGGUUUCAGUCACGGUCUCUCCCCAUCCGUCUAUCUACUGUAAAUACAGUAUGUCUCUGUGAGUAGACCACUGACUGACUUUGUUUGUCCACAUAACCAGAUAGACAGGUCCUGCAGUCCUGUACUGGCUGUUCCUGGAGAAGGCUGGGUAGGGUGUGUGAGACAGGAAGUGGGGUGAGUGUGAGCCAGGGCCUCUCCCCCCAUGUGGAUGAGACCAGGCUGGGCUGAAGAGAGAGCAGAGAGGGGCAGCGCCUGGCUGGAUGUAAGAUGUUGCUGUUUGGCUAGUGGACAGUCAGUGGCCCUAUUUUGGUGGUUUGGUUGGAGUGCUGAUGUUUUGUGGGCAUCGUUGCGAUACAGUUAGACGGUGAUGACUGAAGAGGAGACUACUUCCUGUGACGUCAUCAUGACAACUGUCAAAGAAGACACACAUGAGAGGAUCAUGUCCAGACAAGACCAAGAGGAAAAGCUCACUAUUACAGACUGGUACAGUAUGUGUGUGACUCUCCAGCAGCAGGAGCUGAGGCUGUCUGAGGGCUCUUACAGACCUCCAGGCCAAGCCCAGUCCUUCCUGGCCCAGCAGAGGCAGUCCACCCAGGACAGGAGCAGGAGAGGCAUGGGGCUCUCUCCCAAGCUACAGCCCAGAUAGGAGGGAGAGAUGGAGGGAGAGGUUCCCUCUGUUGAGGAUGGUGGGAUUGACACUGGAUGGACAAGGAAUGUUGGAAGAGGAUGUUGAUGGGAUUUUUAUGACGGUUUAAAAAAAUCUUGGAUGUUAAAACAAACAAUUUUAUAAAACAUUGGCGCCACCUGCUGGUCAACUGGUAUUGGUGUUCGUUUUUUUGUCCAUCUCAGUUUGAAUCUAAAAGUAAAAGGAAUAGAUAGGACAGUAAAGGACUAUCACUAUUACAAUGUGUUGCCAAUGGAUUUUUGCGCUUUGAAUAAAAUAUCAACAUGACUUACAGUAUAGCUCUCAUUUUCUCCAGAUUGAAUUUGACUGUACUGUCUCACAUAUCUGC
rnacentral:lncRNA from 1 species